rnacentral:ncRNA from 2 species
UGAUACCCUGCCGGGGCCAGUCGCACCACGUUCGUUCGUGGUCAGGGAAUCCGGUGAGAAUCCGGAACUGACGCGCAGCGGUGAGGGGGACGGGCAGGGUACGUGCGCCACUGGGGCGAGGCCGUGCCGACCUGAGCGUCGACGCGGCCCCGACCCGGGAAGGCACCCUGUCCGGGCGAACCCGAGUCCGAAGACCUGCUGGCACCUUCGCGCCGAG